AUUGAACGCUGGCGGCAGGCUUAACACAUGCAAGUCGAACGGCAGCGGGGGAGAAGCUUGCUUUUCCUGCCGGCGAGUGGCGAACGGGUGAGUAAUACAUCGGAACGUGCCCUGUAGUGGGGGAUAACUAGUCGAAAGAUUAGCUAAUACCGCAUACGACCUGAGGGUGAAAGUGGGGGACCGCAAGGCCUCAUGCUAUAGGAGCGGCCGAUGUCUGAUUAGCUAGUUGGUGGGGUAAAGGCCUACCAAGGCGACGAUCAGUAGCUGGUCUGAGAGGACGAUCAGCCACACUGGGACUGAGACACGGCCCAGACUCCUACGGGAGGCAGCAGUGGGGAAUUUUGGACAAUGGGCGAAAGCCUGAUCCAGCAAUGCCGCGUGUGUGAAGAAGGCCUUCGGGUUGUAAAGCACUUUUGUCCGGAAAGAAAUGGCUCUGGUUAAUACCUGGGGUCGAUGACGGUACCGGAAGAAUAAGGACCGGCUAACUACGUGCCAGCAGCCGCCGCAG
rnacentral:rRNA from 1 species